rnacentral:rRNA from 1 species
CCAAUAGCGUAUAUUAAAGUUGCUGCAGUUAAAAAGCUCGUAGUUGAAUUUCGGGAUUUAUCCGUCGGUCGGGCUUUUGGGUCUGUACUGGCGUGAUGGAUUCCUACCUUCUGAAUAACCGGCAUGUCAUUAAUUUGGUGCGCCGGGGAAGCAGGACUGUUACCUUGAAAAAAUUAGAGUGCUUAAAGCAGGCUUAUGCCUGAAUACAUUAGCAUGGAAUAAUGAAAUAGGACGGCAUGGUUCUAUUUUGUUGGUUUCUAGGAUCAACGUAAUGAUUAAUAGGGAUAGUUGGGGGCAUUAGUAUUCAAUUGUCAGAGGUGAAAUUCUUGGAUUUAUUGAAGACUAACUUCUGCGAAAGCAUUUGCCAAGGAUGUUUUCAUUAAUCAAGAACGAAAGUUAGGGGAUCGAAGACGAUCAGAUACCGUCGUAGUCUUAACCAUAAACUAUGCCGACUAGGGAUCGGACGAUGUUAAUUUUUUAAUGACUCGUUCGGCGCCUUACG